UACGAAGGGGGCUAGCGUUGCUCGGAAUCACUGGGCGUAAAGCGCUCGUAGGCGGAUUGUUAAGUCGGGGGUGAAAUCCUGGAGCUCAACUCCAGAACUGCCUUCGAUACUGGCAAUCUUGAGUCCGGGAGAGGUGAGUGGAACUCCGAGUGUAGAGGUGAAAUUCGUAGAUAUUCGGAGGAACACCGGUGGCGAAGGCGGCGAUCUGGACUGGUAACUGACACUGAUGAACGAAAGCCAGGGGAGCAAACGG
rnacentral:rRNA from 1 species